GGAUGCAAACUGAGACAGACCAAGACC
rnacentral:piRNA from 1 species